UAUCUAGUGGCACUGCGAUGCAGUGCCUUAGACCACUGCGCCUUAGACCACUGCACCACUCGGGAGACAAAUGCUACAAAUGCUACUGUCCCUCAUGGUACGUUUCGACCAGAAGCGGUGCCUCCGCUUUGCAGCUCUUCACUCCAAAAGAUUGACCGCUUCGUGGGCAUAGGCAUGAACCUAUUCAAAUAUGGAGAGCUGUGAAAGCCUGUCUGCAGAAGAAGAGUUCCCCGUGAAUGUCCCAAGAGACUGCUGGCACAUCCUUGUAUGCCA